GCGGCCACAAGGGGUGUGGGAACUCGUGAGCUCUGGGGGUUCCAUGGUGUUAAAUAUAUCGUGCGCAUGUUAUCCUUCUGGACUUUACUGUGCCAGUAGUGCGUGGCGAUGCGAACGUGGAGGGCGUGAGACUUAUGCGGGCCUCUGAGACAGCGUGGUAGUGAGCCUUAUUAAUAGCUGCUUCGCACGUCUGGGGUGGAGUUGCGACAACCCGAGCAAGCAACCUGGGCCUAGACGGCUACAAGGGUACCGCACCCCCUCUGUUGACAAUCCAUUUCAGUCAUUCGAAGUCGGAGUUGGGAUCCGAACAAAACUGCCUCUAGGCGCCGGGUACCAAGUGUCCUGGCGCGCAGCUGCUGCUUAGAAUCUGAUGUGUCUGAUGGGUCGAGUUCUCAGCCUCCUACAAGAGGCCUUCGAAUGUUGUUGCACAUUCGGAAUUGACUUCGUUGUAUCUGAAUGCCUUGCAUUGAGAUUCCAUUGUGUCAAGUCAUAAACUCCUUAGAGUGUUCAAAGCCACUGGUCGCUGUUAUGUGUAUCAACUUGUUGACGGGACCAGUUAGUUCUUUUAUUUUUAUUUUUAUUUAUUUUUUGUUUUUCACUUUUGUCGUUGAUAAUGGAGCACUCAUAUUGGUUGCGGAGUGAAGUACGCGAUCGCACAACUGAAUCGUGAUUGCUGAAGUCUGUUUUGCUUCGUGUGCCUGUUUGUGAAAAGCCUUGAUUUGAAGUUGAUGCGACCCUGAGGAAUGUAGUUCUCUUGCAUCCAGUACAAUUCUCUAGAUAUGAAGAACUUGUAUGUAUUGUAGUUGCGUCGUGUGUGACAUUCUUCUUAAGAGUGUACCACGUACCACACAACGACUUCCUGUUUGUGAAAACGAUCAUACUCGGAAUGUAGUCUAGCUAAGUUUUAAUGCAGCUUUGAUGUUACAAGCUUCAGCGGGGACCAUGCAGAUCUUCGUUACAUAAGUGAUCAAGUAUUGACGAUGAGCGGUUCAAGAAAAGUCCACAGCUGAAGGGGGCGGGAAUGGUUUGAGUGUAGUUCUGCGCAAACCAGUCAAUCAACAUGUAGAAGCCGGUCGUCCAUUUCGAAUUUCUGUCCAUGUAGUGACUGCCACCUCUAUUUUUUUACUCCGUUCUGGGAUUGUUCAUCGCGAUCAAGGUUACAGCACCAUCCAAGACUGCGAGUUCGCUUUGUUGCUCACCCUCAUCUUGGAGUACUGCAUCUUCACAUCUCUGGGUUUCACAAUCUGCCUCAGGUUGUUAAAGUGCCGGAGUAAAAUUGUGUUAUUGGAUAUUCAGUAAAGAUGGGUGCGAAAAUGGAGUCAAUCCAUCAUUUGCAUAGUACUAGAGAUAAAGUGUUUACACACUUAUCAUAGUACAAAACUCGGGGCACUUGAGCACACCAUAUGGAAAGAAGGUUUGAAAUUCUUGUGAUGGGCAGAUGCAGAACUGCAAGAAGUGAGUGGGCAACAGGCUAUUUUCGAAGAUCUCGUGAAUGUCGACAAUCCAGGUACUAACAAAGCAUACCCCAGGGAGCAUGUUUCUUAUCUCUAACGAAGACAGUGUCAACUCAAGAAAUUCAAUCGGAGUAGCUUAUUUUAUUGCCACAAUCACAGCGUGCGGAUGUGUGCACCACUCAUAUGGUUCGGUCAGUAGAUCAGUGUCACUAUUAUUCUUGUCAUUGGGACACUCGUUUCAGAUUCGAAUAACCUAGCCAGGUGAAUUCGUUUAGGAUCUUAGCAUUUACCAUUGCAUGUGCGAGGGAACAACUAACACGACGUCUUAUUUUGCGAGAAAUCGAGGUCUGAACACUGCUCGUUAAGGUCAAAGAUUGAUCACAGAACGUGCAUUGCGGUUCAGUUAUUUGGCUACGUAAUGUGAACCUAGUGUUCAAAGAACCUGUUAUCAAAUUGGAGUUGAAUCAGUGAAGACACGGACCUAUAUCCGUCUUAGAUACCGGUUAUUGGCAGCAUAGCUCAUACAUAACACAGUAAUCACACCAAUCGUGGAGCAUCGCACAUCAAGUUAGUGUUGGGAAUAAACGGAACCCGUUCCUGGGACUCGGGUAGGCUCACAGAGAAGAGAAGAGAAGAGAAGAGAAGAAACUGCACAAGUGUUCUGUUCCCGCACUGGCGAUGGUGCCAGUAAGCUUGACGAGAGCAGAUCGAAGCGCAAGCAGAUCCAUGUUUACGGCUCAUGAAGCGCACCGCAACCUGGAAACUCGUUUGGCACGAUCUAGAUUUGCGUUUGUGGGCGUAUCGGCUCCGCCAGUGCUUCCCAGACGCACCGCAGGUUCUUCGGAGACAGUUUUUGUGGACUGUGUAAUGAGACUUUGUUUGUUUGAUUUUUAAGAUAUAAAAGGAUCUAUUGUACUUGACUGUUCAAUUAAUUUUUGUGACCACAGAUCUACUACUAUAUCUUCUAUUAAAA